AGUGAACGCUGGCGGUAGGCCUAACACAUGCAAGUCGAACGGCAGCACAGUAAGAGCUUGCUCUUACGGGUGGCGAGUGGCGGACGGGUGAGGAAUGCAUCGGAAUCUACUUUUUCGUGGGGGAUAACGUAGGGAAACUUACGCUAAUACCGCAUACGACCUACGGGUGAAAGCAGGGGAUCUUCGGACCUUGCGCGAUUGAAUGAGCCGAUGUCGGAUUAGCUAGUUGGCGGGGUAAAGGCCCACCAAGGCGACGAUCCGUAGCUGGUCUGAGAGGAUGAUCAGCCACACUGGAACUGAGACACGGUCCAGACUCCUACGGGAGGCAGCAGUGGGGAAUAUUGGACAAUGGGCGCAAGCCUGAUCCAGCCAUACCGCGUGGGUGAAGAAGGCCUUCGGGUUGCAAAGCCCUUUUGUUGGGAAAGAAAAGCAGCAGGUUAAUACCCCGCUGUUCUGACGGUACCCAAAGAAUAAGCACCGGCUAACUUCGCG
rnacentral:rRNA from 1 species